AUUGAACGCUGGCGGCAUGCCUUACACAUGCAAGUCGAGCGGCAGCGCGGGGGCAACCCUGGCGGCGAGCGGCGAACGGGUGAGUAAUGCAUCGGAACGUGUCCUCUUGUGGGGGAUAACCAGUCGAAAGACUGGCUAAUACCGCAUGAGCUCGAGAGAGGAAAGCAGGGGACCGGAAGGCCUUGCGCGAGAGGAGCGGCCGAUGCCGGAUUAGCUAGUUGGUGGGGUAACGGCCCACCAAGGCGACGAUCCGUCGCUGGUCUGAGAGGACGACCAGCCACACUGGGACUGAGACACGGCCCAGACUCCUACGGGAGGCAGCAGUGGGGAAUUUUGGACAAUGGGGGCAACCCUGAUCCAGCCAUGCCGCGUGUGUGAAGAAGGCCUUCGGGUUGUAAAGCACUUUCGGCCGGAACGAAAUCGCGCGAGCUAACACCCCGCGUGGAUGACGGUACCGGAAGAAGAAGCACCGGCUAACUACGUGCCAGCAGCCGCAGUAA
rnacentral:rRNA from 1 species